AUCGCUUCUCUGCCUUUUAGCCAAGAUCGUGUGUAGUAUCUGUUCUUAUCAGUUUAAUA
rnacentral:snRNA from 1 species